CAGCUCCAACUCUCUUGAUUUCAUAGGGAGGCCUCACCUUUUCACGUCCAGAUUUAAAAAAUUGAAACCUCACGAUUUUUCGAAAAGAUUGACUUAUCAUUUUAAGAAAGCGAAACUGAAAUGAAAACUUUUUCAUUAAAAAUGGCGUGGCGUUUACCAGCAGUUAAGCACAUGCAAUAAUGAAGAAGACAAGUGAUCACCGUUUUCAAACAAAAAUUAACAAAACAAUUUAAAAUUGGUAUCAAUAUUCCAACAACAAAUUCACCGAAACCUUACUGCCGAAUACUUCUUGAGGCAAAAUAUAACGUUUUGAAACAAUUAAUGGUGAAUUUGGCAAUCAGUCCCGAUUCCUGGCUACCUAAUCUGUAUAUUUAUAAGUAAACUAACUUCCCGACAAAGGGAAGUAUUCCGCUUCGCUCGAAGCGGCAAAGUUCUCCUUGUAGUUUCCAGGUAGUUGCAUCUCUAUCACCCGACAUUUUGUUAUUGUUGGCACUUGGCAUUACCUACACUGACACACACACUUCAUGAUUAUAUUUACUGCCAUUUUCUUCCGGGAUAGCUAGAUAGUUAGAACUAUUGAGCAAUUUCUUUCACCGGAAAAUUUACGGCAAUCCAUUUCGAGUCAUAUUAGAGAAUUUUUUAUCUGUCAUGUGUCAGUGUUCUGCGACAGGUUCUGCUCAUGUGCUAUGUGACUGCGAGGACCCACUUUCUGGUGUGAACAAUGCCCAAA